rnacentral:piRNA from 2 species
GAGGGUGGACUAAGCAGAGUCACAGUGGGC